CUGCCGGUCUUGGCCUCCCAAAGUGCUGAGAUUACAGGCAUGAAGCCAGUAUAGUUUAAUUUUUAAAGAUACACUAGAAGAUACAAGAUGGACCUAAUAUCUAAGGACAGCAUCUCCAUGCCAGGGACAGUGGCACUUCACAUUUCACAUGCAUUAUUUCAUUAAAACAGCACCAUCACCUCGGGAGGCAGGUUCAUUCUCUCUCUAGACAGGCUCGAGAAUGGAGACAGAAAAUGGAGGUAACUUGCCCAAGGCCACUCUGUAGACCAGGCAAUUUGAAAGGAAGAGAGGAUUUAGGCGCCAUACUCAAGGUUACCUGGGUAAGAAAUGAUGGAGCAAGAAUGUCACCCAUGGGACCACACCCCUGAAUCUAUAAAUUGGAGUGUUUCUGCAAAUUCUAAGAGGUUCUUAACAUUAUCCAGAAUGGUGCCCUGGUGGACGAUCAUGCACCUUG
rnacentral:lncRNA from 1 species